UCAGAACGAACGCUGGCGGCAAGCCUAACACAUGCAAGUCGAACGGACAAUUGCUUAUAACCUUUUGGUUAUAAAUAAUUGUUAGUGGCAGACGGGUGAGUAAUGCGUAGGAAUCUACCUAGUAGUAUGGAAUAGCCAUUAGAAAUGAUGGGUAAUACUGUAUAAUCCCUGCGGGGGAAAGAUUUAUCGCUAUUAGAUGAGCCUACGUUAGAUUAGCUAGUUGGUAAGGUAAUGGCUUACCAAGGCUAUGAUCUAUAGCUGGUCUGAGAGGACGAUCAGCCACACUGGAACUGAGAUACGGUCCAGACUCCUACGGGAGGCAGCAGUGGGGAAUAUUGGACAAUGGGCGAAAGCCUGAUCCAGCUAUGCCGCG
rnacentral:rRNA from 1 species